rnacentral:rRNA from 1 species
ACAGCCAUACCACCCUGAUGUGCCUGGCCUCAUCUCAUCUCAGAAACUAAGCAGGGUUGGGCCUGGUUAGUACUUGGAUGGGAGAAUAAUAGCAAAUUAAAGUUUCCCCUUCAUGAAAACAGUCAUGUU